rnacentral:lncRNA from 1 species
AGGGCCGGCUUACAAGGGGGGACAAGCGGUGCGACCGCCCCGGGUCCGAGUCCAUGUCCCCCCGUGUAAUGAUAAAUAAGGGGCCCAAUUUUUUAUAAAUCUAUAUUUUUAUAUAUAUAAAAAAAUUAUAAAUACAAUAAAUAAAAUUGAAAAGGGCCCAAAAUUAUUUGAUAUGUAUAUAGUUUUAUUUUCAUUACAAAAUAUAC